rnacentral:lncRNA from 1 species
CAUCAAUUAAACGUGCCAUUUUAAGUGCCAAUUUAGUGAUUUACAUGGAUAUUUACCUAAAUUAACAUACAUUUUUCGAGUGUAACAGUGUUUUAUAAAAUGGGCGUGUGUCGGCGUUUUCAUUUAAUUAUUUCAUAAUUAAUCGCUUUUAUAAUGUGUUUCAGUGAUUAAAGUGAUGUUAUUUUAGUGAAAUGAAGUGGCCUUAAGUGAUUUACAAGCAGGAUUUGAUAGUUCAGCUGUAAGAACCACAUAUGAUUACUCAGGAUGAACAAGAGCACUGUGCAGAUACAACAGCGAAGUCUUGAUGCAAGCAGCGAUGCCAGCUUCAGUGAAAGGGAGCCGUGGGACGAGUGGGGAAGCAGGUCCUCGCUCAGUCAGGUGGAUGAGGUGAUCGAGGU